GAGAUUGCAUCACUGCACUCCAUCCUGGGCAAGACUCCCUCUCAAAAGAAAAAACCUAUGUGAUGUUCUAGUUCAAAAGCCUGUGAUUCUGGACUGAGUUAUCUGGUCUUAGUGGAGAAAAAAACACCAAAGAUCUGCAGUUUAUACCGGUGAGGAUGGAAAAAUUCAGGCUGAAAUUAGGGUGCUACUGAGAUAAAAGGUAGAAAGUAUUUCCUGAAGGGCUUACUGCUGAUUAUAUUGAAAUAGAAGCAGAGUUCAGAGUACCUUAGUAACUGCAUAAAUGGCAGGUAUGUCAUUGGGAAAUGGGAUUGAGAAAUAACAACAUGUUUUUCAUCUUUAUUUUAAAGCAACAAGGAAAAAUUCAGGAUCAGACAACCGGAAAUGAUCCCUCGGAUUAAUGCUGAACUGUUGUUUCGGCCAACUGCUCUUUCAACUCCAAGCUUUUCUUCUCCUAAGGAAAGUGUUCCAAGAAGACAUCUUUCAGAAGGAACAAAUUCUUAUGCGACAAGACUUCUAAAUAAUCAUCAAGUUUCACCCCAAUCUGAACCUGAGAGCAACAGCUUGAAACGGAGACUUUCUACUCGUUCCUCAAUUUUGAAUGCAAAGAAUCGGAGAUUGAGUAGUCAGUUUGAAAAUUCAGUUUAUAAAGGUGAUGACGAUGAUGAAGAUGUCAUCAUCUUAGAAGAAA
rnacentral:sRNA from 1 species